rnacentral:tRNA from 1 species
GGGCAGUUGCUACGGCGGGAUUGACCUGCGCCGUCCCGAUCAACAGUCACGCCGCCCUUACAAGGCGGAUGUCGGCGGUUCGAAACCGUCCGCGCCCACCA